rnacentral:rRNA from 1 species
GGGUUGUGAGGUUAAGCGACUAAGCGUACACGGUGGAUGCCCUGGCAGUCAGAGGCGAUGAAGGACGUGCUAAUCUGCGAUAAGCGUCGGUAAGGUGAUAUGAACCGUUAUAACCGGCGAUUUCCGAAUGGGGAAACCCAGUGUGUUUCGACACACUAUCAUUAACUGAAUCCAUAGGUUAAUGAGGCGAACCGGGGGAACUGAAACAUCUAAGUACCCCGAGGAAAAGAAAUCAACCGAGAUUCCCCCAGUAGCGGCGAGCGAACGGGGAGCAGCCCAGAGCCUGAAUCAGUGUGUGUGUUAGUGGAAGCGUCUGGAAAGGCGCGCGAUACAGGGUGACAGCCCCGUACACAAAAAUGCACAUACUGUGAGCUCGAUGAGUAGGGCGGGACACGUGGUAUCCUGUCUGAAUAUGGGGGGACCAUCCUCCAAGGCUAAAUACUCCUGACUGACCGAUAGUGAACCAGUACCGUGAGGGAAAGGCGAAAAGAACCCCGGCGAGGGGAGUGAAAAAGAACCUGAAACCGUGUACGUACAAGCAGUGGGAGCCUCUUAAUGGGGUGACUGCGUACCUUUUGUAUAAUGGGUCAGCGACUUAUAUUCUGUAGCAAGGUUAACCGAAUAGGGGAGCCGAAGGGAAACCGAGUCUUAACUGGGCGUUAAGUUGCAGGGUAUAGACCCGAAACCCGGUGAUCUAGCCAUGGGCAGGUUGAAGGUUGGGUAACACUAACUGGAGGACCGAACCGACUAAUGUUGAAAAAUUAGCGGAUGACUUGUGGCUGGGGGUGAAAGGCCAAUCAAACCGGGAGAUAGCUGGUUCUCCCCGAAAGCUAUUUAGGUAGCGCCUCGUGAAUUCAUCUCCGGGGGUAGAGCACUGUUUCGGCAAGGGGGUCAUCCCGACUUACCAACCCGAUGCAAACUGCGAAUACCGGAGAAUGUUAUCACGGGAGACACACGGCGGGUGCUAACGUCCGUCGUGAAGAGGGAAACAACCCAGACCGCCAGCUAAGGUCCCAAAGUCAUGGUUAAGUGGGAAACGAUGUGGGAAGGCCCAGACAGCCAGGAUGUUGGCUUAGAAGCAGCCAUCAUUUAAAGAAAGCGUAAUAGCUCACUGGUCGAGUCGGCCUGCGCGGAAGAUGUAACGGGGCUAAACCAUGCACCGAAGCUGCGGCAGCGACGUUUAUGCGUUGUUGGGUAGGGGAGCGUUCUGUAAGCCUGCGAAGGUGUACUGUGAGGUAUGCUGGAGGUAUCAGAAGUGCGAAUGCUGACAUAAGUAACGAUAAAGCGGGUGAAAAGCCCGCUCGCCGGAAGACCAAGGGUUCCUGUCCAACGUUAAUCGGGGCAGGGUGAGUCGACCCCUAAGGCGAGGCCGAAAGGCGUAGUCGAUGGGAAACAGGUUAAUAUUCCUGUACUUGGUGUUACUGCGAAGGGGGGACGGAGAAGGCUAUGUUGGCCGGGCGACGGUUGUCCCGGUUUAAGCGUGUAGGCUGGUUUUCCAGGCAAAUCCGGAAAAUCAAGGCUGAGGCGUGAUGACGAGGCACUACGGUGCUGAAGCAACAAAUGCCCUGCUUCCAGGAAAAGCCUCUAAGCAUCAGGUAACAUCAAAUCGUACCCCAAACCGACACAGGUGGUCAGGUAGAGAAUACCAAGGCGCUUGAGAGAACUCGGGUGAAGGAACUAGGCAAAAUGGUGCCGUAACUUCGGGAGAAGGCACGCUGAUAUGUAGGUGAAGUCCCUCGCGGAUGGAGCUGAAAUCAGUCGAAGAUACCAGCUGGCUGCAACUGUUUAUUAAAAACACAGCACUGUGCAAACACGAAAGUGGACGUAUACGGUGUGACGCCUGCCCGGUGCCGGAAGGUUAAUUGAUGGGGUUAGCGGUAACGCGAAGCUCUUGAUCGAAGCCCCGGUAAACGGCGGCCGUAACUAUAACGGUCCUAAGGUAGCGAAAUUCCUUGUCGGGUAAGUUCCGACCUGCACGAAUGGCGUAAUGAUGGCCAGGCUGUCUCCACCCGAGACUCAGUGAAAUUGAACUCGCUGUGAAGAUGCAGUGUACCCGCGGCAAGACGGAAAGACCCCGUGAACCUUUACUAUAGCUUGACACUGAACAUUGAGCCUUGAUGUGUAGGAUAGGUGGGAGGCUUUGAAGUGUGGACGCCAGUCUGCAUGGAGCCGGCCUUGAAAUACCACCCUUUAAUGUUUGAUGUUCUAACGUUGGCCCCUGAUCGGGGUUGCGGACAGUGUCUGGUGGGUAGUUUGACUGGGGCGGUCUCCUCCUAAAGAGUAACGGAGGAGCACGAAGGUUGGCUAAUCCUGGUCGGACAUCAGGAGGUUAGUGCAAUGGCAUAAGCCAGCUUGACUGCGAGCGUGACGGCGCGAGCAGGUGCGAAAGCAGGUCAUAGUGAUCCGGUGGUUCUGAAUGGAAGGGCCAUCGCUCAACGGAUAAAAGGUACUCCGGGGAUAACAGGCUGAUACCGCCCAAGAGUUCAUAUCGACGGCGGUGUUUGGCACCUCGAUGUCGGCUCAUCACAUCCUGGGGCUGAAGUAGGUCCCAAGGGUAUGGCUGUUCGCCAUUUAAAGUGGUACGCGAGCUGGGUUUAGAACGUCGUGAGACAGUUCGGUCCCUAUCUGCCGUGGGCGCUGGAGAACUGAGGGGGGCUGCUCCUAGUACGAGAGGACCGGAGUGGACGCAUCACUGGUGUUCGGGUUGUCAUGCCAAUGGCACUGCCCGGUAGCUAAAUGCGGAAGAGAUAAGUGCUGAAAGCAUCUAAGCACGAAACUUGCCCCGAGAUGAGUUCUCCCUGACUCUUUAAGGGUCCUGAAGGAACGUUGAAGACGACGACGUUGAUAGGCCGGGUGUGUAAGCGCAGCGAUGCGUUGAGCUAACCGGUACUAAUGAACCGUGAGGCUUAACCUUACAACGCCGAAG